rnacentral:rRNA from 1 species
AUUGAACGCUGGCGGCAUGCUUUACACAUGCAAGUCGAACGGCAGCACGGGGGCAACCCUGGUGGCGAGUGGCGAACGGGUGAGUAAUGCAUCGGAACGUACCCAGUCGUGGGGGAUAACGCAGCGAAAGUUGUGCUAAUACCGCAUACGACCUGAGGGUGAAAGCGGGGGACCGUAAGGCCUCGCGCGAUUGGAGCGGCCGAUGUCUGAUUAGCUAGUUGGUGGGGUAAAGGCCCACCAAGGCGACGAUCAGUAGCGGGUCUGAGAGGAUGAUCCGCCACACUGGGACUGAGACACGGCCCAGACUCCUACGGGAGGCAGCAGUGGGGAAUUUUGGACAAUGGGGGCAACCCUGAUCCAGCCAUGCCGCGUGCGGGAAGAAGGCCUCGGUUGUAACGUACGUUCGGUACGGUAACGGAAAGUAACGACGACUAGG